GCCCAGACUCCUACGGGAGGCAGCAGUGGGGAAUAUUGCACAAUGGGGGAAACCCUGAUGCAGCGACGCCGCGUGAAGGAAGAAGUAUUUCGGUAUGUAAACUUCUAUCAGCAGGGAAGAAAAUGACGGUACCUGACUAAGAAGCCCCGGCUAACUACGUGCCAGCAGCCGCGGUAAUACGUAGGGGGCAAGCGUUAUCCGGAUUUACUGGGUGUAAAGGGAGCGUAGGCGGUUUAGCAAGUCAGAAGUGAAAGCCCGGGGCUCAACUCCGGGACUGCUCUUGGAACUGCGUGGCUGGAGUGCAGGAGGGGCAGGCGGAAUUCCUGGUGUAGCGGUGAAAUGCGUAGAUAUCAGGAGGAACACCGGUGGCGAAGGCGGCCUGCUGGACUGCAACUGACGUUGGGGCCCGAAAGCGUGGGGAGCAAACAGGAUUAGAUACCCGAGUAAC
rnacentral:rRNA from 1 species